CUUAAGAGCAGUGAUUUGCCACUGUGGCAGAAAAGAUCAUAAAACCCGGAUGUGGCUCCCUUAACAACUUGGCAAUGGGAAUUUGUGUCCUCGUCCUGGUGGUUUCUUGAGAAAUGGGCAGAUUCAUAUCUGCAUUCCUCCACCCCUGCUUUGCUUUCUGAAGUUCAUUUCUUUCCCAAACCUGCAGUUCACAAGUCAGAACUUGCUCUGUCUCUCUGAGACUCACCGCCUCCUCCGCCUUGGCUGUUCCAGGUAUGUCUGCUCUGAAAACUACCUGGAGGAUUUCUCUGGGAGUGGCAGCCCUGCAGCUUUCAGAGACAAUUCCUCUCCUCUGUCUUGGCUGGAGAAUACAAGUUGCUUAGACACAGAGGCAGCUUUUUCUGGUUUUUCUUGGAGAAGACCAAAGCUGUGUGGCAUUUCCUCAGCAGGCAAAAUGUG